rnacentral:misc_RNA from 1 species
AUGAGUUAGGGUACACCUGUGCCCGAACCUCCAACCCUUUGUCUACCUACUUUUAGUUGCUUUGGCGGGGCGUGGAUUGAAUUUAUUUCGAUCCACCACCGGCUUCGGCUGGUGAGUCUCCGUCAAUAGCCCACCCAAAAACCUUUUAAUUAAUGCAGUCUGAGUAAAAAUUUAAUAGCUAAA